rnacentral:lncRNA from 1 species
AUAAACUGAAGGAAGUCCAGAGAAGAGCAACAAAAAUAACGAAAGGUCUAGAAAACAUGACCCAUCUGGGGAGACUGAAAAAACAAUUGGUUUCGUUUGGGGAAGUGAAGACUGGAGACAGAUGUGAUAACAGUUUUCAAGUAGAUUAAAAGAUUGUUACAAGGAGGAAGGAGAAAAAUUGUUCUCGUUAACCUUUGAGGGUAGGACAAGAAGCAAUGAGCUUAAAUUGCAUAAAGGGCAGCUUAGAUUGGACAUUAGGAAGAACUUCCUAACUGACAGGAUAGUUAAGCACUGAAUAAAUUGCCCAAGGAGGUUGUGGAAUCUCCAACAUUGGAGAUUUUUAAGAGCAGGUCAAACAAGCACUUGUCAGGGAUGGUCUAGAUAAAAAUUAGUCCUUUCAAGAAUGCAGAGGCUGGACUAGAUGACCUCUCAAGGUCUCUUCCAAUCCUAUGAUUCUGUGUACUUGUGUGGCAGGAGAAGGGGUGGAAAUGGCAACAGACACAGAGAAGGGGGGCCCUGAACAAAUCAGUUUGAGAACCACUGGUCUAAACCAUCCAAUAAACCAAGCAACCAGCUUCAAGAGGAGUUGGAGAAUUAUCGGCGCAGCGUAUCCCACGGGCGUCUGGCAGUGCGGGAGAUGCAGGCUCUCAUGCCUGCCAUCCAGGAAGCAGGGAGGGGAAAUGAGUGUCGAAUAUACAAACCGGAUUCUGGGUGAUUGAAGUAACCAACCACCAGCACAAUCGGGGAACAGGAAUAAUAGCGUAUGAUUUCUACAGCUCACCAAACCAGCCCAUGGAAGGGGAAUUCUUGCAGUGCUUGGAGCCCGCUUCAUUCCAGCACAGGACACUACUCUGACGAAGAGGAACAUUCCCACUGACUCUGAUAACUCUGUGAACAUUCGUGGCUAUCAACAGACAGCUCUCCAACUUCAACUCAGUCUCUUUGUGUUCUUGUUCCUGGUGUUGAUGGCUCUGAUGUUCAUCUUGCAAAGCUUGUCCUGACUCAUUAUGUUGUUCCAACUGCUCAUCUCUACUCAUGGUAGCCAGUUAUUACCUACCCUCCCUUCUGAAACAUCUAUGAUGCUAUCAGUUCUGAUCAAUUCAGAUGUGUCAUUAUGGUAACAGAAACUUGGAUGCUUUAUUGAUGUAAUGACUAUCUUCUUUGCAAGAAGUUGUCGGUGUGCUCCCUUAUACUCCACUCUGUAUGGAUGUCUGUCAGUCACUCCUAGCAUAGCCUCAUAUGGUAUGCUCUUCAGGUCACCAAUGACAACGUUCAUGUGCAUCGUCUCUCCCUCUCCAUCUGGAACUUGCUCACUUGAAAUAUGCAUUCUGUGUUCUCUUGCCAUUCUUUUCUUUCCAUAUCCUGUUUCUCCAAACAACCAUAUGACCUCUGGCUUCCAGCCUCUCUCUU